GGAGCACGCUUAGGCGUGUGACUGCGUACCUUUUGUAUAAUGGGUCAGCGACUUAUAUUCUGUAGCAAGGUUAACCGAAUAGGGGAGCCGAAGGGAAACUGAGUCUUAACUGGGCGUUAAGUUGUAGGGUAUAGACCCGAAACCCGGUGAUCUAGCCAUGGGCAGGUUGAAGGUUGGGUAACACUAACUGGAGGACCGAACCGACUAAUGUUGAAAAAUUCGCGGAUGACUUGUGGCUGGGGGUGAAAGGCCAAUCAAACCGGGAGAUAGCUGGUUCUCCCCGAAAGCUAUUUAGGUAGCGCCUCGUGAAUUCAUCUCCG
rnacentral:rRNA from 1 species